rnacentral:rRNA from 1 species
UGGACUGCAUGUCUAGUAGAGGCAUAACACAGUCUGUGAUGGCAAAUGGCUCAUUAUAUAAGUUAUCGUUUAUUUGAUAGUGCCUACCUACUCGGAUAACCGUGGUAAUUCUAGAGCUAAUACGUGCUUAAAGCCCCAACUCACGAAGGGGCGUAUUUAUUAGAUUAAAAACCAACGCCCUCACGGGCUCACUGGUGAUUCAUGAUAACUUCUCGAAUCGCACGGCCCUGCGCCGGCGAUGGUUCAUUCAAAUUUCUUCCCUAUCAACUUUCGAUGUUUGGGUAGUGGCCAAACAUGGUGACAACGGGUAACGGAGGGUUAGGGCUCGACCCCGGAGAAGGAGCAUGAGAAACGGCUCCUACAUCCAAGGAAGGCAGCAGGCGCGCAAAUUACCCAAUCCCGACACGGGGAGGUAGUGACAAUAAAUACUGAUACAGGGCCCUUUCGGGUCUUGUAAUUGGAAUGAGUACAAUUUAAAUCCCUUAACGAGGAACAAUUGGAGGGCAAGUCUGGUGCCAGCAGCCGCGGUAAUUCCAGCUCCAAUAGCGUAUAUUAAAGUUGUUGUGAUUAAAACGUUCGUAGUUGAAACUAUGGUCUCGCCGCCUGGUCCCCCUCACAGGGUGCACUGGCGCGGCGGGGCCUUUCCCUCUGCGGAGCCGCAUACCCUUCACUGGGCGUGCCGGGGAAGCAGGACUUUUACUGUGAAAAAAUUAGAGUGCUCCAAGCAGGCCUUUGCUCGGAUACAUUAGCAUGGAAUAAUGAAAUAGGACGCGCCGUUUUAUUUUGUUGGUUUCUAGGACGGCCGUAAUGAUUAAUAGGGACAAUCGGGGGCGUCAGUAUUCAAUCGUCAGAGGUGAAAUUCUUGGAUUGAUUGAAGACUAACUACUGCGAAAGCAUUCGUCAAGGGUGUUUUCAUUAAUCAGGAACGAAAGUUGGGGGAUCGAAGACGAUCAGAUACCGUCGUAGUCUCAACCAUAAACUAUGCCGACUAGGAUUGGGCGGUGUUAAACUUGACCCGCUCAGCACCUUACGAGAAAUCAAAGGUUCUUGGGCUUCAGGGGGAGUACGUCGCAAGGCUGAAACUUAAGAAUUGACUGAGAGCACCACAGGGGUGACCUGCGCUUAUUGACUCACACGGGAAACUCACAGUCAGAACCUGGAGGAUGGACGAUGAAGCUCUUCUGGAUCAUGAUGGGGUCAUGCGUUCUAGUCGGUUGAACGUGCAGUCAUGCAUACAACGAAACGCAACCGUACUAAAAUCCCGGGCGCCCU